rnacentral:rRNA from 1 species
CCGCAAUGGGCGCAAGCCUGACGGAGCAAGACGCGUGGGGGAUGAGGCCUAAUGGUUGUAACCCCUUUUCUCUGGGAAGAAGACUGACGGUACCAGAGGAAUCAGCCUCGGCUAACUCCGUGCCAGCAGCCGCGGUAAUACGGAGGAGGCAAGCGUUAUCCGGAAUUAUUGGGCGUAAAGCGUCCGUAGGUGGUUAUACAAGUCUGCUGUCAAAGCGUGGGGCUUAACUCCAUAGAGGCAGUGGAAACUGAGUGACUAGAGUGCGGUAGGGGUCGAGGGAAUUCCCAGUGUAGCGGUGAAAUGCGUAGAUAUUGGGAAGAACACCAGUGGCGAAAGCGCUCGACUGGGCCUGCACUGACACUGAGGGACGAAAGCUAGGGGAGCGAAAGGGAUUAGAUACCCCUGUAGUCCUAGCCGUAAACGAUGGAUACUAGGUGUUGCUCGUCAUCGACCCGAGCAGUGCCGUAGCCAACGCGUUAAGUAUCCCGCCUGGGGAGUACGCUCGCAAGAGUGUUACUCAAAGGAAUUGACGGGGGCCCGCACAAUCGGUGGAGUAUGUGGUUUAAUUCGAUGCAACGCGAAGAACACUUACCAGGGCUUGACAUGUCCGGAACCUUGCCGAGAGGUGAGGGUGCCUUCGGGAGCCGGAACACAGGUGGUGCAUGGCUGUCGUCAGCUCGUGUCGUGAGAUGUUGGGUUAAGUCCCGCAACGAGCGCAACCCACGUUCUUAGUUGCCAGCAUUGAGUUGGGGCACUCUAGGGAGACUGCCGGUGACAAACCGGAGGAAGGUGUGGAUGACGUCAAGUCAGCAUGCCCCUUACGUCCUGGGGCUACACACGUACUACAAUGCUGUGGACAAAGGCUAGCCAGCCAGCGAUGGUGAGCUAAUCCCAGAAACCACGGCUCAGUUCAGAUUGCAGGCUGCAACUCGCCUGCAUGAAGGAGGAAUCGCUAGUAUUCGCAGGUCAGCAUACUGCAGUGAAUACGUUCCCGGCAUUGUACACACCGCCCGUCACACCAUGGGAGUUG